rnacentral:rRNA from 3 species
CGUGAACGAUGAAGGCCUUCGGGUCGUAAAGUUCUGUUGUUAGGGAAGAACAAGUACCAGAGUAACUGCUGGUACCUUGACGGUACCUAACCAGAAAGCCACGGCUAACUACGUGCCAGCAGCCGCGGUAAUACGUAGGUGGCAAGCGUUGUCCGGAAUUAUUGGGCGUAAAGCGCGCGCAGGCGGUUUCUUAAGUCUGAUGUGAAAGCCCACGGCUCAACCGUGGAGGGUCAUUGGAAACUGGGAAACUUGAGUGCAGAAGAGGAGAGUGGAAUUCCACGUGUAGCGGUGAAAUGCGUAGAGAUGUGGAGGAACACCAGUGGCGAAGGCGACUCUCUGGUCUGUAACUGACGCUGAGGCGCGAAAGCGUGGGGAGCGAACAGGAUUAGAUACCCUGGUAGUCCACGCCGUAAACGAUGAGUGCUAAGUGUUAGAGGGUUUCCGCCCUUUAGUGCUGCAGCAAACGCAUUAAGCACUCCGCCUGGGGAGUACGGUCGCAAGACUGAAACUCAAAGGAAUUGACGGGGGCCCGCACAAGCGGUGGAGCAUGUGGUUUAAUUCGAAGCAACGCGAAGAACCUUACCAGGUCUUGACAUCCUUCGCUACUUCUAGAGAUAGAAGGUUCCCCUUCGGGGGACGAAGUGACAGGUGGUGCAUGGUUGUCGUCAGCUCGUGUCGUGAGAUGUUGGGUUAAGUCCCG